GACACUGGCAGCAUUAACACUAGCCCUACAACUGUCACACCAGUGACCAUCUCACCUGAGGUUCAUAACUUUAUUAGUCAAGGAGAGAGUGUGGAUUGGUUUGUCAGACUCUGAGACUGAGGGGAUCAUGAAAUGGGUGGAUAAUUUACCACUGAAACAAGAGUUUUGGAAUAAAGGUGAGCCAAAUAAUGCCGGUGGAGGCGAGGACUGUGUUGAACUGACGCCUUCGAAUCCCAUCCAGAACUGGAAUGAUCUCCCAUGCUCUGAGAAGAGGAAAGGGGUUUGUGAGAAAUAGGGUUCAUCCCGUCUUCUCAUGUUUUUAAUUGUAUUUUUUUAUGGAACCAUCACUAUUAUCAUUGAUUU